UACGUAGGGAGCAAGCGUUGUUCGGAUUUACUGGGCGUAAAGGGCGCGUAGGCGGCAGAUCAAGUCAGUUGUGAAAUCUCUGAGCUUAACUCAGAACUGUCAACUGAUACUGUUCUGCUAGAGUGCGGAAGGGGCAAUCGGAAUUCUUGGUGUAGCGGUGAAUUGCGUAGAUAUCAAGAGGAACACCUGAGGUGAAGACGGGUUGCUGGGCCGACACUGACGCUGAGUGCGCGAAAGCCAGGGGAGCAAACGGG
rnacentral:rRNA from 1 species